AUUGAACGCUGGCGGCAGGCUUAACACAUGCAAGUCGAGCGGGGAAGGGUAGCUUGCUACCUAACCUAGCGGCGGACGGGUGAGUAAUGCUUAGGAAUCUGCCUAUUAGUGGGGGACAACAUUCCGAAAGGAAUGCUAAUACCGCAUACGCCCUACGGGGGAAAGCAGGGGAUCUUCGGACCUUGCGCUAAUAGAUGAGGCUAAGUGAGAUUAGCUAGUUGGUGGGGUAAAGGCCUACCAAGGUGACGAUCUGUAGCGGGUCUGAGAGGAUGAUCCGCCACACUGGGACUGAGAAACGGCCCAGACUCCUACGGGAGGCAGCAGUGGGGAAUAUUGGACAAUGGGCGAAAGCCUGAUCCAGCCAUGCCGCGUGUGUGAAGAAGGCCUUUUGGUUGUAAAGCACUUUAAGCGAGGAGGAGGCUACCGAGAUUAAUACUCUUGGAUAGUGGACGUUACUCGCAGAAUAAGCACCGGCUAACUCUGUGCCAGCCGCCGCCGUAACAC
rnacentral:rRNA from 1 species